AUGACAUCUUACUAUGCAAUACUUGGUUGCAAAUGUCGAGGGAUCCAUCCGUUGGAGGUGAUCAAAGUAGAGAUGCUUAUUGGGGGCGGAAGUAGAGAUGCUUAUUGGGGGCGGAUGAAAGAACACUUUGAUGUUCGCAACGUGAGUGGAAUUGACCGCUCCGAGAGAUCACUUCGGUCCCGGUGGUCGACAAUCAACUCGGAUUGUCAAAGGUGGGCGGCCUGUCAAAAAGCGGUUGACAAGUUGAACCCAAGUGGCACAAAUGAGGACGAUAGAGUAAGUGGCAUUUCAUACAUGUUCAUCAUACUUGUUGUUGGUGUUCGAAGUGCUAACUUGCUUUGUUUUCAUGUAGUACCACAUUGCACAAAACUUGUUCAAAGAAGAGGAGAGGAAAACCAAGAAGGGGAAGAUCAAGAAAGGAAGGAUCUUUACCUUGCCUCAUUGCCAUGA
rnacentral:rRNA from 1 species